UCAUAUCUGUCAAUGUCUCCGAUACUUGAAUAACCCAAUCCCUAACUACGGUCUCAUCCAACUCACCAGUAAACGAGACGCAACCUAACUGUCUAGCUUCCUUCAAUUUCUUAGAAAUGGAGACGUCGGGUGUUUGGGGUGGAAUAGAAGGUGGUGGUACUGGGGCUAUUACAGGGAAAACAGCGGGUGGAACGGGACCAGCCUGAGCCUGGCCGGUAAGAGCAACGAGAAAAGUCGCUAAUGCUUGAGCUGCCUUGGGUGACAUGGCAGGUACGCCAGGAGCAGCAACAGGUGGUGGAAGAGGUAUAGGAAUGUCAGUAGACUCAGCAAUAGGGGCUACUCUAAAAGAAGACGCAGCCGACUCCUCUUCUAUGAAAUUCGAUUGACUCUGUCUAAGGUGACCUCUUCU
rnacentral:lncRNA from 1 species